rnacentral:rRNA from 1 species
UCCGGUUGAUCCUGCCGGCGGGCACCGCUAUUGGAAUCCGAUUAAGGCAUGCGAGUCGAGAGGGGUUAAGCCCUCGGCGGACGGCUGAGUAACACGCGGAUAAUCUGCCCUCGGGUGGGGGAUAAUCUCGGGAAACUGAGGAUAAUACCCCAUAGGUCUAGUCUGCUGGAAUGCUUCUAGAUUGAAAGCUCCGGCGCCCGAGGAUGAGUCUGCGGCCUAUCAGGUUGUAGUGGGUGUAACGGACCCGCUAGCCUACGACGGGUAGGGGCGUUGGGAGACGGAGCCCCCAGAUGGAUUCUGAGACACGAAUCCAGGCCCUACGGGGCGCAGCAGCUGCGAAAACUUCGCAAUGUGGGGAACCACGACGAGGGGAUUCCAAGUGCCAAUGCAUUGCAUUGGCUGUUCUCCUGUCUAAAAAACAGGAGAAGUAAGGGCCGGGUAAGACGGGUGCCAGCCGCCGCGGUAAUACCCGCGGCCCAAGUGGUGCUCGAUAUUAUUGAGCUUAAAGCGUCCGUAGCCGGUCUUGUAAAUCCUCGGGUAAAUCGGGCAGCUUAACUGUUCGAAUUCCGGGGAGACUGCGAGACUUGGGACCGGGAGAGGUCGGAGGUACCUCUGGGGUAGGGGUAAAAUCCUGUAAUCCUAGAGGGACCACCAGUGGCGAAGGCGUCCGACUAGAACGGAUCCGACGGUGAGGGACGAAGCCCUGGGGCGCAAACGGGAUUAGAUACCCCGGUAGUCCAGGGUGUAAACGCUGCGGGCUUGGUGUCGGGGGUCCUACGAGGGCGCCCGGUGCCGGAGAGAAAUUGUUAAGCCCGCCGCUUGGGGAGUACGGUCGCAAGACUGAAACUUAAAGGAAUUGGCGGGGGAGCACCGCAACGGGAGGAGCGUGCGGUUCAAUUGGAUUCAACGCCGGAAAACUCACCAGGAGCGACGGACACAUGAAAGCCAAGCUGAUGACUUUGCUAGAUUGUUCGAGAGGUGGUGCAUGGCCGUCGUCAGUUCGUACCGUAGGGCGUUCUCUUAAGUGAGAUAACGAACGAGACCCUCGCCGCUAGUUGCUAUCCAUUCCUCCGGGAGUGGAGCACUUUAGUGGGACCGCUGGUGCUAAACCAGAGGAAGGGGAGGUCGACGGUAGGUCAGUAUGCCCCGAAUCUCCUGGGCAACACGCGCGCUACAAAGGCCGGGACAAUGGGCUCCGAUAUCGAAAGGUAAAGGUAACUCGAAACCUGGCCGUAGUUCGGAUUGAGGGCUGUAACUCGCCCUCAUGAAGCUGGAUUCCGUAGUAAUCGCGCGUCAACAUCGCGCGGUGAAUAUGCCCCUGCUCCUUGCACACACCGCCCGUCAAACCAUCCGAGUUGGGUCUAAGUGAUGAUGCUUCAUCUUGGGGCGUUAGAACUUGGGUUCAGCAAGGGGGGUUAAGUCGUAACAAGGUAUCUGUA